rnacentral:rRNA from 1 species
CCUACGGGAGGCAGCAGUGGGGAAUAUUGGACAAUGGGCGAAAGCCUGAUCCAGCCACGCCGCGUGUGUGAAGAAGGCCUUCGGGUUGUAAAGCACUUUCAGUGGGGAAGAAAGCCUUGGGGCUAAUACCCUCGAGGAAGGACAUCACCCACAGAAGAAGCACCGGCUAACUCCGUGCCAGCAGCCGCGGUAAUACGGAGGGUGCGAGCGUUAAUCGGAAUUACUGGGCGUAAAGCGCGCGUAGGCGGUCUGAUAAGCCGGUUGUGAAAGCCCCGGGCUCAACCUGGGAACGGCAUCCGGAACUGUCAGGCUAGAGUGCAGGAGAGGAAGGUAGAAUUCCCGGUGUAGCGGUGAAAUGCGUAGAGAUCGGGAGGAAUACCAGUGGCGAAGGCGGCCUUCUGGACUGACACUGACGCUGAGGUGCGAAAGCGUGGGUAGCAAACAGGAUUAGAUACCCCGGUAGUC